AAUGAGAAAAAAUAGGUAAUGGUGAACAUAUGGGAAUAUUGGGUUAGUUUUAGCGAUUUGAUGAAAUGUAUGACAAGAAAAAUAAGUGGGGACAAUCAUAAGGUUAAGCUAUAUAUGAUAAGUGAGGAUGAAAUGAAACAAUUUUAGCAUAGCCAAGUAGAAUGAGGUAUGAAAAGCUUGUUGAAAGGCUUAUCCCUUAGCCUAAGC
rnacentral:lncRNA from 1 species